rnacentral:misc_RNA from 1 species
UCGCGGCUUAUCACCGGCAGUCCCCUUAGAGUGCCCAACUGAAUGAUGGCAACUAAGGGCGAGGGUUGCGCUCGUUGCGGGACUUAACCCAACAUCUCACGACACGAGCUGACGACAGCCAUGCACCACCUGUGACGGUGCCCCGAAGGGAAACCGUGUUUCCACUGCGGUCACCGACAUGUCAAGCCCAGGUAAGGUUCUUCGCGUCGCGUCGAAUUAAACCACAUGCUCCGCUGCUUGUGCGGGUCCCCGUCAAUUCCUUUGAGUUUUAGCCUUGCGGCCGUACUCCCCAGGCGGGGCACUUAAUGCGUUAGCUCCGGCACGGAGGGAGUCGACACCCCCCACACCUAGUGCCCAUCGUUUACGGCGUGGACUAC